rnacentral:piRNA from 1 species
UGAUGGACAGCAGGUGAUGCUC